AUACCUUAUUCGGCCUUUUGGCUAAGAUCAAGUGUAGUAUCUGUUCUUAUCAGUUUAAUAUGUUGAAUAUUAUGACCUCGAAAUAAUCGGAAUGUAUCAGUUCUUUAAGAAAUUAAAUCAAU
rnacentral:snRNA from 1 species